rnacentral:lncRNA from 1 species
GCUUAAGACCUGUCUCAGUGCACCAGUACCUGAUGCUGGGAGAUGAAUGGCUUAGCACUGUUCUACUUGGAACAUAUCACUCCUGCCAGCCGGGCACUAACAAUUAUCACCCAAUCCAGGACUUAAACUGUGAUAGAGUGGCUGAUGUUCUGCCUUUGAAUAGAGUGUCCCAAAAGAUGGGACCACUGGUCAGCUGCCAUGGACUAGAUUCUCCACCGGUUGGGGACAAUCUGGUCACCUUGCUGCCCAAUCCGACCUGGAGCCACCACAGCACGAGUGUCAAGCACUGGCAGAAGCCCAUGGGUGGA